CAUCAGCCCGGCUGCGCCUGGCCACUUCCUCAUACUGGGCCUUGACCUCAGCGAUGAUCCCGUCAAGGUCCAGGUCACGGCUGUUGUCCAUCUUCACAAUGACCGAUGUCUCUGAGAUGUGUGACUGCAG
rnacentral:miRNA from 1 species